rnacentral:lncRNA from 11 species
CCUUGAUUUUUGUGAUGUCUGUGUGCCGAAACCUUCUGCUUUUUGUUUACGUUGCAGGAAACAGUCAAGUUGCUUCCCAAGUCUCCUAAACUGCAUGGCGGCCAUAACUGGAAUUCCCAGGGCCCCCGCUGGGGUUCUUUGAAAGGAAAGGAGAGCACCCAAGGGAGCAGCCUGUACAAGUUUAGCUCAGCAAAGGAAAAAUGGAAGGAAGGGCGAAUCAGUCCUGAACAAGAAGCUGAGGAACUGGAGGAUCCUGAUGAGGAUGAGCCUAUAUCCAAAUUCUCUGGGAGCCUUUUUGAUUCCAGUGAUAACAUCCGGGACCAAAGAAGCGCUAGAGUUGGCCUUCAACAGGAGAGACAGAAAGUGGCACCAAAAGGGAAAAAUGUUCCAGCAGCCAACAAGAAGCCGCAGGUCCCAGCUGCAGCUACUACCAAUAGCCUCCCAACGGAGGGCAUCAGGUUUUCCAAGGAAAGCAAAGACCAAGUCCUUGGAGCUGCAGACUCAACUCAGGCACCUUUGAAGGUAAUUCAUGAAUAGGUACUGGCCUCCUCACUGUACUCUUUAAAAUUGUAUUCUAAUAAAAGCAAGCGUAACUCACGUCCACUCUUAUGUAUCAAGUUUGUAAGGUAGGAUUUAGUUAUUAAAUAAUUUACAAGUCAUGAUUAGAGGCAAAGAACUGAAAGACUGGAAUACCUGAGGAUGGCAAUUAAUCCUUGGCAGGCUUCACUUCCUA